rnacentral:rRNA from 1 species
GCGGUGGAUGAUGUGGUUUAAUUCGAUGCAACGCGAAAAACCUUACCUACCCUUGACAUGUCUGGAAUCCUGCAGAGAUGUGGGAGUGCUCGAAAGAGAACCAGAACACAGGUGCUGCAUGGCCGUCGUCAGCUCGUGUCGUGAGAUGUUGGGUUAAGUCCCGCAACGAGCGCAACCCUUGUCAUUAGUUGCUACGAAAGGGCACUCUAAUGAGACUGCCGGUGACAAACCGGAGGAAGGUGGGGAUGACGUCAGGUCCUCAUGGCCCUUAUGGGUAGGGCUACACACGUCAUACAAUGGCCGGUACAGAGGGCUGCCAACCCGCGAGGGGGAGCUAAUCCCAUAAAACCGGUCGUAGUCCGGAUCGCAGUCUGCAACUCGACUGCGUGAAGUCGGAAUCGCCAGUAAUCGCGGAUCAGCUUGCCGCGGUGAAUACGUUCCCGGGUCUUGUACACACCGCCCGUCACACCAUGGGAGCGGGUUCUGCCAGAAGUAGUUAGCCUAACCGCAAGGAGGGCGAUUACCACGGCAGGGUUCGUGACUGGGGUGAAGUCGUAACAAGGUAGCCGUAUCGGAAGGUGCGGCUGGAACACCUCCUUCUAGACUGCAGAA